rnacentral:rRNA from 1 species
AGUGAACGCUGGCGGUAGGCCUAACACAUGCAAGUCGAACGGCAGCACAGUAAGAGCUUGCUCUUACGGGUGGCGAGUGGCGGACGGGUGAGGAAUACAUCGGAAUCUACUUUUUCGUGGGGGAUAACGUAGGGAAACUUACGCUAAUACCGCAUACGACCUACGGGUGAAAGCAGGGGAUCUUCGGACCUUGCGCGAUUGAAUGAGCCGAUGUCGGAUUAGCUAGUUGGCGGGGUAAAGGCCCACCAAGGUGACGAUCCGUAGCUGGUCUGAGAGGAUGAUCAGCCACACUGGAACUGAGACACGGUCCAGUCUCCUACGGGAGGCAGCAGUGGGGAAUAUUGGACAAUGGGCGCAAGCCUGAUCCAGCCAUACCGCGUGGGUGAAGAAGGCCUUCGGGUUGUAAAGCCCUUUUGUUGGGAAAGAAAAGCAGCAGGUUAAUACCCCGCUGUUCUGACGGUACCCAAAGAAUAAGCACCGGCUAACUUCGUG